UUAAUUACCUGGCAGGGGAGGCACCAUGAUCAAGAAUGCGGUUCACCAAAGGUGAGGCAUUUCCAUUGCACUCCGGCCAUGCGGACCCCUGCAAAUUCCCCAAAUGUGGGAAUCUCGACUGCAUAAUUUAUGGUAGUGGGGGACUGCGUUUGCCCUCUCCCGUU
ensembl:snRNA U1 U1 spliceosomal RNA